GGCAUGUAUUAGCUUAGUUGGUUAGAGUGUGAUGCUGAUAACGCCAAGGUUGCAGGUUCGAUUCCCCGUAUGUGACA